UACGAAGGGGGCUAGCGUUGCUCGGAAUCACUGGGCGUAAAGCGCGCGCAGGCGGCGAUCUACGUCUGGGGGUGAAAGCCCGGAGCUCAACUCCGGGACUGCCUUGGAUACGGGAUCGCUUGAGGAUUGGAGAGGCAAGGGGAAUUCCACGUGUAGCGGUGAAAUGCGUAGAUAUGUGGAGGAACACCUGUGGCGAAGGCGCCUUGCUGGCCAAUUUCUGACGCUGAGGCGCGAAAGCGUGGGGAGCAAACAGG
rnacentral:rRNA from 1 species